AUUACUGCUCAGUAACACGUAUUCAAUCUACCCUAUAGACGGGGAUAACCUCGGGAAACUGAGAAUAAUACCCGAUAGGUCAUUAUGCCUGGAAUGGUUUAUGGCUUAAAUGAUUUUUCGCUGUAGGAUGGGACUGCGGUCUAUCAGCUUGUUGGUGAGGUAAUGGCCCACCAAGGCUAUAACAGAUACGGGCUCUGAGAGGAGAAGCCCGGAGAUGGGUACUGAGACACGGACCCAGGCCCUAUGGGGCGCACCAGGCGAGAAAACUUUGCAAUGUGCGAAAGCACGACAAGGUUAAUCCGAGUGUUUUCUGCUAAAGAAAUCUUUUGUUAGUCAUAAUACCACUGAUGAAUAAGGGGUGGGCAAGUUCUGGUGUCAGCCGCCGCGGUAAAACCAGCACCUCAAGUGGUCAGGAGGAUUAUUGGGCCUAAAGCAUCCGUAGCCUGCUCUGUAAGUUUUCGGUUAAAUCUAUGUGCUCAACAUACAGGCUGCCGGAAAUACUGCAGAGCUAGGAAGUGGGAGAGGUAGACGGUACUCCGUAGGAAGGGGUAAAAUCCUUUGAUCUAUGGAUGACCACCUGUGGCGAAGGCGGUCUACCAGAACACGUUCGACGGUGAGGGAUGAAAGCUGGGGGAGCAAACCGGAUUAGAUACCCGGGUAGUCCCAGCUGUAAACUAUGCAAACUCGGUGAUGCAUUGGCUUGUGGCCAGUGCAGUGCCGCAGGGAAGCCGUUAAGUUUGCCGCCUGGGAAGUACGUACGCAAGUAUGAAACUUAAAGGAAUUGGCGGGGGAGCACCACAUGGGUGAAGCCUGCGGUUCAAUUGGAUUCAACGCCGGUAUCGUCGACCUGCA
rnacentral:rRNA from 1 species